AAGGAAUAUUGGUCAAUGGACGCAAGUCUGAACCAGCCAUGCCGCGUGAAGGAUGAAGGUCCUCUGGAUUGUAAACUUCUUUUAUCUGGGACGAAAACGGGAUUUUUAUCUCAAUUGACGGUACCAGAGGAAUAAGCACCGGCUAACUCCGUGCCAGCAGCCGCGGUAAUACGGAGGGUGCGAGCGUUAUCCGGAUUUACUGGGUUUAAAGGGUGCGUAGGUGGGCUUAUAAGUCAGUGGUGAAAGCUCCGAGCUUAACUUGGAAACGGCCGUUGAUACUAUAGCUCUUGAAUUAUCGGGAGGUAAGCGGAAUAUGUCAUGUAGCGGUGAAAUGCUUAGAUAUGACAUAGAACACCAAUUGCGAAGGCAGCUUACUACAUAUAAAUUGACGCUGAGGCACGAAAGCGUGGGGAUC
rnacentral:rRNA from 1 species